GAUGAACGCUGGCGGCGUGCCUAAUACAUGCAAGUCGAGCGAACAGACGAGGAGCUUGCUCCUCUGACGUUAGCGGCGGACGGGUGAGUAACACGUGGAUAACCUCCCUAUAUGACUGGGAUAACUACGGGAAACCGGAGCUAAUACCGGAUAAUAUAUUGAACCGCAUGGUUCAAUAGUGAAAGACGGCUUUGCUGUCACUUAUAGCUGGAUCCGCGCCGCAUUAGCUAGUUGGUAAGGUAACGGCCUACCAAGGCAACGAUGCGUAGCCGACCUGAGAGGGUGAUCGGCCACACUGGAACUGAGACACGGUCCAGACUCCUACGGGAGGCAGCAGUAGGGAAUCUUCCGCAAUGGGCGAAAGCCUGACGGAGCAACGCCGCGUGAGUGAUGAAGGUCUUCGGAUCGUAAAACUCUGUUAUUAGGGAAGAACAAAUGUGUAAGUAACUAUGCACGUCUUGACGGUACCUAAUCAGAAAGCCACGGCUAACUACGUG
rnacentral:rRNA from 1 species